UGGAUCCUAUUUUGGUCUGCUUGACAUAUUGGGCUGAUGGUUUGUUGGGGUUUCGCCUUGAUUUGAUAGCUAUGGCUAUGCAUGGCUUCCCUUUGAGCUUCAACUGGUGUUCUUCAUCUACCCUGAGAUGGGUUAGCGCUAUGGUCUAAUUGGUGCGAUAGGGCAGCACUGUUCUUCCUUGGAACCGAAUUCUCUUUUCGA
rnacentral:misc_RNA from 1 species